GGGCUCGUGGUUUAGUGGUAUAAUACUCCCUUAGCACAAUGGAAUGGGAGUGGUCCGGGGUUCGAUUCCCCGCGAGUCCA
rnacentral:tRNA from 1 species